GUGGGGAAUCUUGCGCAAUGGGCGAAAGCCUGACGCAGCCAUGCCGCGUGAAUGAUGAAGGUCUUAGGAUUGUAAAAUUCUUUCACCGGGGACGAUAAUGACGGUACCCGGAGAAGAAGCUCCGGCUAACUUCGUGCCAGCAGCCGCGGUAAUACGAAGGGGGCUAGCGUUGCUCGGAAUUACUGGGCGUAAAGGGCGCGUAGGCGGACAGCUUAGUCAGAGGUGAAAGCCCAGGGCUCAACCUUGGAAUUGCCUUUGAUACUGGCUGUCUUGAGUUUGGGAGAGGUGAGUGGAACUCCGAGUGUAGAGGUGAAAUUCGUAGAUAUCCGGAGGAACACCAGUGGCGAAGGCGGCUUCCUGGACAGUAACUGACGCUGAGACGCGAAAGCGUGGGGAGCAAACAGGAUUAGAAACCCGUGUAGUCC
rnacentral:rRNA from 1 species